rfam:Orenia sp. Z6 2524618313, whole genome shotgun sequence.
CUACCUAUUCUAUUUGAGGUAAUCCUAUCUACCGGUGCAUUACUGGUAACGGUUUUGUGCUAAGCGGUAGGGACAAUGUGAAACAAACUGCUAGCCUUGAAGCAGGUGAUUGC